UUUGGGAGAAAAUUAGUAAAUCUUAGACUGCCUGGUAAUACACAGUGAUGUUCUGCCACGGAUGGCAGAACAAGGCAGCAUCGAGUCAUGGAGGACUCGUUGUUGCCGUUCACGUCAUUCUGAGAAAACCUGACUCAGGCAGGCUUAGAUUUUCUUAUUUUCGUACAAU
rfam:Roseburia intestinalis XB6B4 draft genome.